AUGCGGUCCCGGGUUCUGUGGGGCGCUGCCCGGUGGCUGUGGCCCCGCGGGACCGUUGGCCCAGCCCGCCGGUCCCUGAGCUCCGGUAGCCCGCCGCUGGAGGAGCUGUUCGCUCGGGGCGGGCCCUUGCGGACCUUCCUCGAGCGCCAGGCGGGGUCUGAAGCCCAUUUGAAGGUCAGGAGGCCUGAGUUGCUGGCGGUGAUCAAACUGCUGAACGAGAAGGAGCAGGAACUGCGGGAGACUGAGCACUUGCUGCACGAUGAGAAUGAGGAUUUAAGGAAACUUGCAGAGAAUGAAAUAACUUUGUGUCAAAAAGAAAUAACUCAGCUGAAGCAUCAGAAGAAACAGAUGAAAAUGAUUUGAUCCUGGAAGUAACUGCAGGAGUUGGAGGUCAGGAGGCAAUGUUGUUUACUUCAGAGAUAUUUGAUAUGUAUCAGCAAUAUGCUGCAUUUAAAAGAUGGCAUUUUGAAACCCUGGAAUAUUUUCCAAGUGAACUAGGUGGCCUUAGACAAGCAUCUGCCAGCAUUGGGGGUUCAGAAGCCUAUAGGCACAUGAAAUUUGAAGGAGGUGUUCACAGAGUACAAAGAGUACCAAAGACAGAAAAGCAAGGCCGCGUCCAUACUAGCACCAUGACUGUAGCAAUACUACCCCAGCCUACUGAGAUUAAUCUGGUGAUUAAUCCGAAAGAUUUGAGAAUUGACACUAAGCGAGCCAGUGGAGCUGGGGGACAGCAUGUAAAUACCACAGACAGUGCUGUCCGGAUAGUUCAUCUUCCAACAGAUUGGAAGUAAAGGAAGAUCAGAGAAAAUAAGAACAUACAAUUUUCCACAGAACCGGGUCACAGAUCACAGAAUAAACAAGACACUGCAUGAUCUUGAAACUUUUAUGCGAGGAGAUUAUCUACUGGAUGAACUUGUACAGUCAUUGAAGGAAUACGCCGAUUAUGAAUCUUUAGUAGAAAUUAUUUCCCAAAAAGUUUAAGUUGAUUUGUUAUUUAUAGACUUUCGUAGCUUAGAAAAAUUCUACAGUACAUCCACAUAGGGUGAAAAUACCCUUAUUCUCUUAAAAAACAUGAGUUAACACAGUUGGAGGUAAUAUGCAUAUUCUGAAGUCAUAGAUAAUUUACACAGAUCUCUCUCAAUGCAUUAGCAAAAAUCAUACAAUAUACAGAUGGUCCUCAAUUUACAUUGUGGAUAAUUCCCAAUAAACCCAUCAUGGGUUAAAAAUGCAUAUAGCGUUAGCAACACAGCAGUCUCCUACUUAAUGACAGCUUGACUUAACAAUUUUCCAACUUUACCAUGGUGUGAAAGAGGUAUGAUUCCUAAGUCCUAAGGAGCUCCUCAGCUUGAAAUGGGGCUGCAUCCCUAUAAAACCCAUCAUAAAGUCAAAAAAUCCUAAAACAAGUUGGUGACCAUCUGUAAUCAUGACGUGGUGGUAAAUCUCGGACGCUUCCUUACAAUAAGUAGACAAAGGAAAAUCAUCCUUUACAGCCUACUCAGUGAUGGGGAAAUUCCCUGUCUUGCCCUGGGCCAGAGCUGGUGUACAGCUGGUGGAUCAGGUCUUACAAGCAAAGAACCUCACACUCUCGACUGGUAAGCCAGAAGCCUCUUGCUAGGGUGUGAGCAAAACUUGGACAGGAACUCUCAGUAGAUGUUUGUGUUUGUCAAGAUUCUCCAGACAAACUUCCUUAAAAGGAUUGGCUUGUGUUAUUAUUAAGUCUAACAAGUCCAAAAGCUGGAGUGUGAGGCAGGAGGCUGGAAACCCAGGAAAGCUGAUGGUGCAGGUCCAGUCCAAAGGUAUUUGUUGGAGGAUUCUCUUGUUCUGGGAAGAGGACGGUCUUUUUUUCUCUUCAGACCUUCACCUGACUGGAUCAAGCCCACUAACAUCGAGGAGGGCAGUCUGCAUUACUCAAGAGUUCACUGAUUGAUUUAAAUGUCAAUCUCAUGUAAAAGCACCCUCACAGAAACACCUAGAAUAAUGUUUGACCUUAUAAUUGGAAAAUCAGAGCAAAAGUUAAAUCUCUAAAAAAAAAAAGUAUGACCCAGUAGCUAGGAACCUGUGGCCCCACCAAGUUGACACAUAAAAUUAACUGUCACAGUAUCAUCUUAGAAGUGAAAGAAGCCCCUUUAUCCUGUAGUGCCCCUCUACCACCACCUACUGACAAAGAACAUGGUGCUAUCUGGCAUGGGAGAAAUGUUCAGUUUGCUAUGGCUUGUAUGUGUCCCCUCAAAUUCAAGUGUUGCCAAUGUGACAGCAUCAAGAGGUGGGGCCUUUAAGAGAUCACUAGGCCAUGAGGGAUUCUCUUAGGACUGGGAUGAAGGCCCUUAAUAAAAGAGGUUUCAGGGAGCAUCCUGCUAGCUUGCCUUCUGUAUGUGAGAACACAGCAAGAAAGCCCUAGUCAACAAGUGCCAGCUCCUUGAUCUUAAAGACUUCCCAUCCUCCAGAACUGUGAGAAAUACAUUUCUGUUCCUUAUAAAUUACCCAGUCUCCUGUAUUCUGUUAUAGCGGCACAAAAUGAAGAUACCAUACCUGAACACCUGAACAUUCUUCACAAGGUAGUAAAUGCACUGCUUUAUUCUGGUCUCAGUAUUGUGUGCUUAAUAACGAAAUGAGAAAGGGUGGAUCAGGGCAUAGGAUGAACAAGUUACUGCUAGACCUCUCACAAUGCCACUAAUGGAUAAGAUUGUACUUUCAUCAUUCUUGUCUCUUCGUUAGCUAACACCAUGCUAUAAUAGGCAAUAAAUAGAUGUCUAAAAACACCUUAAGUAUUUUUCUAGAAAUCUGGUGUAUUGUUCGAAAAGAACCAAAAUUCAACUUAAUUUCAAAGGGCCUGAAGCACUAGUUAAUCAAAAUUCAUUAGUUUUUAAUGGUACUACCACUCUCAAAUUUAAAAUGUCAUCUUACGUUCCUCUUCCUCGCAUUGGAUUUAUUGCUAAAACCUGGUAAACACUUUUAAUCUUUUUCAAUUCCAUUACCACUGCUCUUGUCCAGAAUUACUUCACAGACUACUUUAAUAGUCACCUGACUUCUCCCCUGCAUCCUAUUUGCUGUCUAAUUCUGGUUACAAAUAAGUAACUGCCAAACUAAUCUUUCUAAAAAGCAAGACUGAUCUCGUCACUCCUUUGCUCAACAAUGUAAAAGCUCCCAUUGUCUCCCAAAUAAAACCAGCUUUCCACUGUGUAUACAAUACAUCCA
rnacentral:sRNA from 1 species